AUUGAACGCUGGCGGCAUGCUUUACACAUGCAAGUCGAACGGUAACAGGUUAAGCUGACGAGUGGCGGACGGGUGAGUAAUGCAUCGGAACGUGCCCGAUCGUGGGGGAUAACGCAGCGAAAGCUGCGCUAAUACCGCAUACGAACAGAGGAUGAAAGCGGGGGACCGUAAGGCCUCGCGCGAUCGGAGCGGCCGAUGUCAGAUUAGGUAGUCGGUGGGGUAAAGGCUCACCAAGCCAACGAUCGGUAGCUGGUCUGAGAGGACGACCAGCCACACUGGGACUGAGACACGGCCCAGACUCCUACGGGAGGCAGCAGUGGGGAAUUUUGGACAAUGGGCGAAAGCCUGAUCCAGCAAUGCCGCGUGCAGGAAGAAGGCCUUCGGGUUGUAAACUGCUUUUGUACGGAGCGAAAAGGUUCUCUCUAAUACAGAGGGCUCAUGACGGUACCGUAAGAAUAAGCACCGGCUAACUACGUGCCAGCAGCCGCCGUAA
rnacentral:rRNA from 1 species